UGGGCCUUAUUGAAACUGUUAUGUAGAGAU
rnacentral:piRNA from 1 species